rnacentral:misc_RNA from 1 species
GAUGAAGAACGCAGCGAAAUGCGAUAAGUAAUGCGAAUUGCAGAAUCCGUGAGUCAUCGAAUCUUUGAACGCAUAUUGCGCCCUUUGGCAUUCCGAAGGGCAUGCCUGUUCGAGCGUCAUUAUCACCCCUCAAGCCCCGGCUUGGUGUUGGGCCCCCGGUGGUCGUACCCGACCACCCGCCUCAAAGAUAGUGAUGGCGUCCCAGAGGGAACCGGUACGAGGAGCUUUCACGAGCAUGUACGCGGGACGACUCUGUGGGCGACGGUCUUUUUUAACCUUAAUAUAUCAAGUGUUGACCUCGGAUCAGGUAGGAAUACCCGCUGAACUUAAGCAUAUCAAUAAGCGGAGGA